CUCCCAUCCAGAUCUUCUUCCUCUCGUCGGGCCGGGCCAGCUCCCGGACCUGUGCCGCCACCGCCACCGCAGCCGCUCACCUCCUCUCCCUGGCCUCCUCCACCAUCAUGGCGUCAUCCCAGCAUCACCACCCUCCUCUAUGACAAGGGCCACCGACGGGCGACGCGAAGAGUUAGCACACUGGCCAUGACGAGGCGGUGACGGCGACAAGAUAUGUAAGUCGACUCACUGGCUAGGAGAGACCGCGCCCAUGCCCGCCCCUCUCGAUCGAGGGUCUACAUUGAUCGCCUUGCAGCGCCGAUAUGCCGCAACCAACCUCGUCCAAAUAGAUCAAGACAAUGGAAUCAUACUUGACGACGAUGCAUCGGGUGCUCUACAGGAGCAACAAACCAUGGACGAGUUUUUGCUCCUUGGGCAUUGAGCAGCAAGCCAUAUCGAAUUCAGAUGAGCAUGGGAAAGGAGUGGUCUGCAUCCAGGUGAAACGCGGUUACUUGCACUGCUCCAUACGAUUUUUUGUAGAUGAAAUAUCUUAUUUUAUGCCAUACAAUUCCAGUUACGAUA